UCAAGGAGAUCGUCAGCCGCCCCGACGCGGAGAUCUACGCGGCGCUGCGGGACUGCAGCAUGGACCCCGACGAGGCCGUCAUCCGACUCCUCUCCCAAGGUCCCGUCUCCCUCUGCCGUGCCUCGCACCUGCUCUUUUGCUGCACCCAUAGUUUUUUGUGUUGUUUUUGUCCCAUUGGUUACUAGUCUCUGGGUUGUGUCUGUGCGAAAUGGAUUGGAGGAACGUGCCUUCUUCGUUUUACCCCGCUGAUUUACGGUGAUCUGCUGCUCUGCUAAUGGAGUUCGUCUCCGGAGGAGGUGCUGCAGGGCUAGUAGCAGCAAGACGUGUUCCUCUGUAGGGUGUAGAGUUUUUCUCUGUUGGGUGCACGCCUCUCAUUUAGGAUGGGGCUGUACGCUCUGUGUGAUUUACUUGUGCUAGUUCACUGGACUAGUAUUUUCUUGGCAAAGGAUUUGAUGCUUGUUAAUUUUACAAUUUUUUGUUGGGGGUGUACUGAUUUUUAACUGUCGAUGGCUUGUGUAUUAGAUUGAUUAUUUUGAUUGAUUAAAGUUUGAAUGAUCAGACUGCACAUAAAUAAUUUCAGAAGCUCAGUCUUUUGAUUUCACGAAGUUCGUUCCACAGUGAACUGCUAGUGCUUGUCUGGUUUUACUGGCUUUGCUGAAUACUAGGAACACAAAUAGCAGAACUUUAUUCAUGGAAGAGGUAGUUAAAAUAUACACAUCUGGCCCUUCUCCUCCAAGCUCAUAAUCGCCUGUGCAAUGGUAUAUCAUUUGCUCAUUAUCUGCUUGUUGAUAUGCCUGUGAGAAUCGGAUAUCUUUAUUCAUGAAAGCAAAAAAAAACAGUACAGAAGUUCAGUGCGAUACGAAAAGAAAUUCGCAUCGCUCAGAUUAGUUCAAUUUCCAGUUUUUGGAGUUUGUUUAGGUUGUCUUAUAGUUUCAGCUAAAAACAAUUAAAAGUUGGUUCAUUUUUGUGUCGAUAAAAACAUGAGAAAAGGUCAGUUAAGUUGGUUCAUUCUGGAGAGUAUGCUCUGGACAGUUUAUAAAUUCAUAUCGGUAGUUCACCAAUUUGAUUUGGGGCAGUUUGCCUAUCCCACAAUUACUAACUCACUCAUGACUAAUUAAAAAUAUGAGUUCGCUUGAUUAUUUCAAGCAGUGCACUAAAUUCGCAGAGGCAGUUCAAUUAGCAAAAUAAGAUUUAAAAUGGUCGUAGUUCACUCCACAAGCAAAUGAUGGUUCUCUUUUAUCUUCUUUGCAUAGGCCCCAUCAAAAUGUCAAUAUUUCCAAUGAUGAGGCUCCAAAGUUUCGCUGCUUGGCUACAGUCCCGUGAGCACGCCAUGCUGUUGGACAAGCUGCUGGACGCCCAGAUAUGCUGCACCGGUUCUGGAAGAAAGAGCAUGACUCUGGGUGCGAAAAUUGGAUGGACGGCUUUGUCGUUUUGGCUGUUCUAACCAUCAAGCUCAAGUUUAAGUUAUUAGGUAUGUGUUUUCUGUAGUUAUUUAGCUUCCAUUUCCUUCUGUGGAUUUCCUUCUGUAGUUAUAGUCUGCCUCUAGGUUAUUCUUGGAGUUGAGUAUAUAUUUCUUUGCAUAACCAUGACUGCUUUUGGCGUUGUUUUAUUUGAGGGAGAAGGCAGACCCCAUUUUGUUUCCUGUCCGGCCUCUCCUUCUAUCGCCGCACCGGUGGGAGACCUCCACUGCUGUAAACUCCCGUGAGCGCUAGUGUGAACUAGCGCCGGCGUGGACUCCCCAGAAAAUUCAAUUUGAACGAGUGUAGAUUGAAGUUCACUCCGCAAAUAAACUGAAGUUCAAUCGGUACAAAAUAACUCUAGUUGGAUUUGUAAAUAAUAAAACCAACUCAUUUCUAUAAGACAUAAAAAAGUUCAUUCUGUGAUCUACCUCUGUGCCCCCAUACCUCCAGCGUGCUAGUAAUACUCUCCGGGUAUUUCAACACUACACUUAAGGUAAUUAACUAGUGAACAAUUUAUACUUGCAUUCAGGAUUACAUUCGAGGUACCUAUUCUUAUGUGUUUAUACUCAUUCUUAACGUUAAGAAAGGUCUAUAUGCUGCCCAGAGCUCUCUGUACAAUUUAAUUCUAGAGCAAAAAGGUAGAACUUUUCCAAGACAAAAUAAACUUGAUUCUGGGCAGUCCACUUUCAGUAAAACAAAACUUGAUUUAUUUGGGAGUGUAUUUCAAAAGACUGGUUGGUUUUUCUUUUGGAAGUUCAUAUUUAUUUUGUUAGAAAGUUCGGUUCAUAAUUAUUCCGCAUAGAAAGUCUACUUCUGCUCCCGCCAAGUUUAGUAUUUCAUGUGAGGUAGUAAAAAUAUUUACAUUUGGUUAACGAGUUGGGUUAAACCCAUUGCGAAGUUCGCAUUUAAUUUUUGGGAAGUUCUGUUGGUCCAAUUCACCUUAUUGUGAAAUUUCUUUUUAAAUUCGUAAGUUGGUUUCGCUCCAGAUCUACUCACAGUUCACUUUGUUCAAAAUGGCAAGUUCACUCUUUUUAUUUUGCGGGAGUCCAUUUCAUGUGCAUCAUAUACAUCAGGGAAGUGCACUCCAUACAUCCCGGGCAGUUCACUCUGUGUUGUAAAAUUUUAGAAUGUUAAAGUAAAUCAUUGCACUUGCACAUACCUGUAGUCUGGACACAAAUAGGUAUAGUUGUGACAGAGUUUCUAAGAAGUUGCUACCGAGUUUCUGUGCUCGAACCUGAAGGCAAUCAAAUGUUAGUUUCUUGAUUAUUACUAGUCUUUUGUUGGUCUCAUCCUAGUACCAGGCUACCAGCCAUUAAGGAAGGCCUCGAAGAACCCUCGGCCACCAUCACAUACACCAGCAGCAAUGUCAUGUCGAUCCAACCAUUACGGCGCUAAAAUGGUAAUGGACCACUACUUGACUGAGCCUACUAUGCUAUAUCUAAGACGUGUCAUGAUCAUCCGGUAAUACUCCAUGGGGAUUUCAACGCUAAAACUUAAGUACCCACAAGCAGCAUUGCAACAAGCUAUGAGUUCUUGCGGCUGGCUCCUACGAUUGUCACUGCAAGUCAUGCUCUUCAUUGCGUGAAGCAGCCGAGCACAAGUGCACAAAAAGAAUAAAGGUGCGGAGAUGAAGAGCUCACUUUUCCUAAUCCGUGGAGUUCAUUUCUCCUAAUUCGUGAGUGUAAAGUUUCAUGUGCAUAAAUGUAGCUACACUGGGGGUUCACUCGCGUAUCCUCGAGAGUCCAGCGGGCUUCACAUCGCUCUCUACAGCUCCAUCUUUAGGCUGUGAGGAAGUUGUAAAUAAUUGCUUGCUCUAGACCAAUCAGGAAAACUCAACAACACACGUGCUGGAGAUUGUUGGUGGAUUAUUUCUCAACGACGCCUUAGUGGAAGUUGGAUAGCACAGGGUUAAAAAAAUCCAGGAGGAUUCUACUUGAGUCCAGCAUUGUGGCGGCUAUACGGAGCAACAGUUCACUUCCCAAGCAACAACAGCUUGCUUCCCACAGAGUAGCAGUUUGCCCCGGUACACACACUGAAGCUCCUAGCCCGCUGCAUCGUCGAAGCCAUCCAGCUCGAUAAACCCAUGCUUAGCUAGCUUGUUUGAUAGUCACUGUCGCCCACAGAGGGAGUUCAGUGUCCACCACCGAGGGAAUUCACAUCGCUAUCUGCUGCAAGCAUGUGCAGCUCCAUCCCCUGUAAUGUGAAAACUGUGCACAUGAGAUUGAACUACACCAACUUCUGAACUGCAAAAGGUGGCUGCUUGUGUAUUUCGACCUGAUGAUUUGUGAACUGCCCGCUAUAUGACUUCCAAAGUGCAGCAGGCCAUGUGUAUGUGCGAGUUUAAUUCUUUAAUUUAAUACACAUGCUAUGUGUUAA